AAAACAACUCUCAGCAACGGAUAUCUUGGCUCUUGCAACGAUGAAGAACGCAGCGAAAUGCGAUACGUAGUGUGAAUUGCAGAAUUCCGCGAAUCAUCGAGUCUUUGAACGCAAGUUGCGCCCGAGGCUUGUCCAAGGGCAUUUCCGCUAGAGCGUCACCGCGCCCCCCCACCGACCCCCCCUCCCAGCGAGCGUCGGGUCGAGUGAAAGUG
rnacentral:rRNA from 1 species